UUAGGAAUCUUCCCCAAUGGGCGAAAGCCUGAGGGAGCGAUACCGCUUGAAGGACGAAGCCCCUCGGGGUGUAAACUUCUGAACUUGGGACGAUAAUGACGGUACCAAGGUAAUAGCACCGGCUAACUCCGUGCCAGCAGCCGCGGUAAUACGGAGGGUGAAAGCGUUGUUCGGAAUUAUUGGGCGUAAAGGGCGCGUAGGCGGUUAUGAAAGUCAGAUGUGAAAUACUUCGGCUCAACUGAAGAACUGCAUCUGAAACUUCAUAACUCGAGUACUGAAGAGGGAAAUGGAAUUCCUGGUGUAGAGGUGAAAUUCGUAGAUAUCAGGAGGAACACCAGUGGCGAAGGCGAUUUCCUGGUCAGAUACUGACGCUGAGGCGCGAAAGUGUGGGGAGCAAACA
rnacentral:rRNA from 1 species